CAUGGUUGUCGUCAGCUCGUGCCGUGAGGUGUCGGUUAAGUCCCAUAACGAGCGCAACCCCUAUCAUUAGUUGCCAUCAGGUCAAGCUGGGGACUCUAAUGAAACUGCCUACGCAAGUAGUGAGGAAGGUGGGGAUGACGUCAAAUCAGCACGGCCCUUACGUCCAGGGCUACACACGUGCUACAAUGGCCGGUACAAAGGGCAGCUACCUGGUGACAGGAUGCUAAUCUCAAAAGCCGGUCUCAGUUCGGAUCGGAGUCUGCAACUCGACUGCGUGAAGUCGGAAUCGCUAGUAAUCGUGAAUCAGAAUGUCACGGUGAAUACGUUCCCGGGCCUU
rnacentral:rRNA from 1 species